AGACAGAGGUGGCAAGCGUUGUUCGGAUUUACUGGGCUUAAAGGGCGUGUAGGCGUCCUGAUAAGUCAGAUGUGGAAGCCUUGGGCUUAACCCAAGAAUUGCAUUUGAUACUGUCGGGAUUGAGUCGUGCAUGGGAGGGCGGAAUUCCUGGUGUAGCGGUGAAAUGCGUAGAUAUCAGGAGGAAGGCCGGUGGCGAAGGCGGCCCUCUGGGCAAUGACUGACGCUGAGGCGCGAAAGCGUGGGGAGCAAACAGGAUUAGAAACCCUAGUAGUCC
rnacentral:rRNA from 1 species